UCUCUCUCUCUCUCUCUCUACAGUUGACUCUCCCUUCCUUCUCUCUUUUCUUACCAUCUCUCUCUAUCCUUUAGUCGGCGUUAAGGGGCAAAGCACGACACAAUUGAUUCGCCAAUGCGAUGCAAUUGCACCACCGUCAAUCUCUCGUCUCUCUCUUCCCAUUGAUCUCAUGUCUCCCCUUUUACCACACCACCAUCGAGAAGCACGUCACGCAUUCUCUCUCUCUCUCUUCUCCCACCACCAUAGAGAAUCCACGUUGUUGUGGCGCUAAUUUGAGCACCACAUGCAGCAACGCUUUCAGGUCUUCCACUGUGCAGCACUAAUCUGAGCAGCGUGGCUACGGUAGUUGAUUUGAAAGCGCGAGUUCCUGUUACUGAUCUGAGUGGCGUGGCUAUGGUGGUUGAUUUCAAUGCGUAAGUUCUUGUUACAAAUUUGAGCGACGUGGAUGUGUUGGAUAAAGCGUGAGUUCACAUUACUCAAAGGGAUGCUUGUUAAUUGUGGCGGUGUUGCCGUGGUCAUGGUGUUGGUAGCGAUGACAGUGGUCGAAUGGCUAGAAGAUUGGUUGUGACCAAUAAAUUGAUUGAUUGUGAUGUAAAAAAUAUAAUCGUGAUUCACAAUUUAUUAAGUAAGUUGUGAUUGAGAAAUAAUUUGAGAUCAAUUAAUUUGAUGAUUUACAACUGUCAAAUAGUUGUGAUUAAUAAAAUUUGUGAUUUGUGACCUAUAAAUGAAUUGUG
rnacentral:lncRNA from 1 species